rnacentral:rRNA from 1 species
GAUAAACGCUGGCGGCGUGCUUGACACAUGCAAGUCGAACGGGCACUCCCGGUUGCUUGAGUGCGAUCGGCUGACGGCUGAGUAACUCAUACGUGACCUGUCCCCCCUUGACUAAUAACUGCCCUAAAGGGUGUCUAAUACCUCCUGUGUUCGAGCUCCCGUUCCUAUGCGCAGAGCGGCAAAGGCGCUUCGGGAGGGGCCUGCCUCCCAUUAUCUCGUUGGUGGGGUAACGGCUCACCCUUGCCACGAUCUUGUAGGUGGUCUCAGACGACGAUCACCCCCACUGGCACUGAGACUCAGACCAGACUCCUACUCCAGGCAGCAGUCGGGAAUUUUGCUCUUUGGGCGAGAGCCUGAACCAGCUGCGCCGCCUGAGGGAUGAAGGCCUUCGGCUUGUAAACCUCUUUUUCCUUCGACUAUGAUGACGCUACCUGGACAAUAAUCCACGGCUAACUACCUGCCAACUACCUCCCUAAUACCUAGGUGACACGCGUUGUCCGGAUUUACUGCGCGAUAAAGAGCGCGCAGGCGGCCCAGUCACUCGAAUGUGAAAGCCCCCGGCUUAACUGGGGAGGGUCAUUCGAUACUGCUCGGCUCGAAGACAGGAGAGGGAAGCGGAAUUCCCGGUGUAAUGGUGAAAUGCGUAGAUAUCGGGAGGAACACCAGUGGCGAAGGCGGCUUUCUGGCCUGUUCUUGACGCUGAAGCGCGAAAGCUAGGGGAGCAAACGGGAUUAGAUACCCCGGUAGUCCUAGCCGUAAACGAUGGAUACUAGGUGUUGGUGGUAUCAACCCCGCCAGUGCCGUAGCUAACGCAUUAAGUAUCCCGCCUGGGGAGUACGGCCGCAAGGCUAAAACUCAAAGGAAUUGACGGGGGCCCGCACAAGCAGCGGAGCGUGGGGUUUAAUUCGAUGCGACGCGAAAAACCUUACCAGGGUUUGACAUGGCUAUGAAGUCGGCGGAAACGUCGGCGCCCCGCAAGGGGCAUAGUCACAGGUGUUGCAUGGCUGUCGUCAGCUCGUGUCGUGAGAUGUUGGGUUAAGUCCCGCAACGAGCACAACCCCUACUGUGUGUUGUAUCACUCACACGGGACUGCCGAGAGAAACUCGGAGGAAGGUGGGGAUGACGUCAAGUCAGCAUGCCCCUUACAUCCUGGGCUACACCCACGCUACAAUGGCCGGUACAACGGGCUGCGAAACCGCGAGGUGGAGCUAAUCCCUUAAAGCCGGUCUCAGUUCGGAUCGUAGGCUGCAACUCGCCUACGUGAAGCCGGAGUUGCUAGUAACCGCAGAUCAGCAUUACUGCGGUGAAUAUGUUCCCGGGCCU